GGAGGAGAUUGGGAGUCCCCUCUGGGACAUGUUAAAUUUAAAGGGUCUGUGGUGGGUGUGUAGCAGUCCCUGGGCAGAUGUGUCUGAGGUUUAGGAGAGAAGUUGACAAUAGGAAUUACAAUUUGGGAGUCCUGAGCAUAUUGAUGAUGUUUAAGGCCCUGAGAUUGGAGAAGGUUUUCUUGGAGAUGCAAGGAUCAACCCUAGGACUCCAACAGGAAGAGGCCAGGGAGAUGGAGAAGGCAGCCAGCUUAGACAGAAAGGGAUGGGAAGGAAGAGCCCUCGCAGAGGCAGGGAUUGAGAGAGAGCUGGAUCAACUGCCUUUGGCGAAGGAAUACCUGCCUCCGAGAAUAGCUGUGAGAAUUAAAUGCCUAGAAGGAUUACCAGCACCUGGUAAAUUGUAAACCAUCAGUGCGUGUUUGUUAUUGGCCAUGAAGACAACUCAAGAAACGGACCUGAUAAAAACCUAUGUGGAGGCAAUGGCUGGACUGCUGCCUGGGAAAGGCUUCCUUACUCUCAUUUCUUCCUUCAGCCAACAUGCCCUGAGCUUGUGUUAUGUGUCAGACACUGGGCUGGGAGCCCGAGAAGACAGGUAGCCCUACUGGGAUAGGGACUACAUGUUCCAACUGCCUUUGCAGGUGGGAGUGGCCAUGGGACUAAGUUCCAGCCAACAGGAUGUGAGAAAUGCCGUGUGCACCGACUGCUUCUCCUUCCGCCCCUGUAGGCUGUGAUGCCCACCUGAAGCCCUGCUGGAGAGGACAGCACUCCGAGGAGUAGCAGAGGAACCAGAUGGAAGUAGCCAUGGUCUGGGACAACCUCAUGUAGCAAAACGGCCCUCCUGGCCUGGACAGACAGCUGAGGGUGCAAGCCCCGAGAAAUGCGAGCCAUGGCUCUUCAUGGCUGAAGGAAUUGGUCACCUAACACUGACACGGUCUGGAAGAAUUAUUUUGAAGUAAGUACAUUCCUUCUACUUCCUACACUAUGUUAAGUGUCAUCCAGUCUCCUCAAGAGAGAAUGGCGGAACUUGGGGGUCAGCUGUGCUCCAGAUGAAGUCAGCUCCAGGUCUUGCCCUCUUGCCUGGCUCACAGAUGGAUGAAGUUUUAUAAAGUUCUUCUAAUUAUGUGCAAAACAAUAAAAUAUAAACCAACUACUUAUAUGUGCUGAGUCUGCUUGGCUUUCCCAGAACGUAGACUAUGGAGAGAUCAUGGAAAUUAUGGUUUAGAACUUCUCCUGUGGCUCUAACAAGGGGUUGAGCACAUGACUCUUGUUACUUCUCAAAUCCCAAAUGUAGGCACAGAAAUAUGAACUGGGAUUCUUUUUCUGACUUACAUGUACAUGAGUAGAGUCUUGUGGCUGCUAUUCCUCUUGCUGAGAACACAAUCAAGUAAUCACCAUACUUGCAUUUGGAGCCAUAAACCCUAAAGCCGUAACAUUUAAUUUUAUGUAACACGAUCACGCUGUAGAAGCUAAUGUGAUUCCCUGGAGCAGGGCGUCUUCUGUGCCAAGCCAUUUUGUAGAGUCUGCUAUAUCAGAUUUUGUUAUCGUUUAUGUUAAGCCUAUUUUAUUUAAAACUUGAGUCUGGUUUGCUUAGAGUAAAUACCGUCUGCUUGCACUCAAUUUCAAUAUGUUCUGUUUGGCAGCAUUGUGCAUUGUAAAGAAAAAAAAAAAGAUAAAGGCUGUUUUGUGGCACACCAAGAUAAGAAAUAGUUUGCACAUCCAGUUCUGUUGUUGAAAGUCAUCUCACUCAGAUAGCGAAUUAUCCAUAAUGACUUAAAAAUAAUAACUUCAAGAGCAGUCUUUUAUUGUUAAGAGUCUUUAUGUGUGCGUGUGUGUGCGUUGAGUGCUCACUCAAAAUAGGGGUCCAUAAAUUGCUACUAAUGUAGAGUGUCUGCAUUUCUUGGCAUUAUAAAACUUCCCUAGAGGCAUUUUCAUAGUUGGGAACUUGGUAGCCCAGCAAUUCUGAGCUUCUUGUUCUUACAUUAAAAUAAUUUGCAUAGUAGCUCCAUGGUGACCUCAAAUUAAGUGUCUGUGGAGAAUUCUAGCUGUACUGUGAACCAGGCUGGGUCAGAAGGAAGGCUCCGUAGCUGCCAAACGCAACAUCUGUGCAAUGUAUUUCAUUGUAUUCUUGCCUGGGUUUAUAGGGAUUCUUAGGGGCUUAAGGGAGUCGUCAUGAACACUCUGAAACUGUACUUGAACUUGUGUGUGUGUGCGUGUGUUGUCUGCUUGCACAUAUUUGGUUAUUUUUAUAGGAAGAGAGUCAAAAUCUGUCACAGCUCUUUAAAAGGCUCCAUGAACCCACCCAUUUCCCUGAAGAAAAGGACUCAGAAGCAGUGAUGUAAAGAAUCGUUUCUAUCAACGAGAAGAGACUCCUCUUUCAGAAAGCAGGAACCAUACGUAGCAGAAGUGAUAACAAUGACUUACUAAAAGGCACUAGACACAGUCACAUGACACAUAACGAUGUCUCCAUCAAGGAUGGGCCGCACACCCAACAGUGGCCCCAUGAGAUGAGACUACUGUAUUUUUCUGCACCUUUUCUGUGUAUGCAUACACAAAUACUUGCCAAUGUGUUACAGUUGCCUAGGGUAUUCAUGCUGCACAGGUUUGUAGCCUAGGAGCUAUUGGCUACACCACAUAGCCUGGGCAUGUAGUCAACUGUACCAUCUUGGCAUGUGGUGACAACGCAUAUCUCAGACCAUGUCCCAUGGUGAAGCAACAUCUGACUAUAUUGAGGUAGCCAGUGUGUGGCCUACAGGGCAGGAGACAGGCCUUAAAAGUUCUACUGCUUGGCCGGGCGCAGUGGCACCUGUAAUCCCAGCACUUUCAGAGGCCAAGGAGGGCAGAUUACGAGGUCAAGCGAUUGAGA
rnacentral:lncRNA from 10 species